AACGAACGCUGGCGGCAUGCCUAACACAUGCAAGUCGAACGAGAUCUUCGGGUCUAGUGGCGCACGGGUGCGUAACGCGUGGGAAUCUGCCCUUUGGUUCGGAAUAACAGUUGGAAACGACUGCUAAUACCGGAUGAUGACGAAAGUCCAAAGAUUUAUCGCCAGAGGAUGAGCCCGCGUAGGAUUAGCUAGUUGGUGUGGUAAAGGCGCACCAAGGCGACGAUCCUUAGCUGGUCUGAGAGGAUGAUCAGCCACACUGGGACUGAGACACGGCCCAGACUCCUGCGGGAGGCAGCAGUGGGGAAUAUUGGACAAUGGGCGAAAGCCUGAUCCCGCAAUGCCGCGUGAGUGAUGAAGGCCUUAGGGUUGUAAAGCUCUUUUACCCGGGAUGAUAAUGACAGUACCGGGAGAAUAAGCUCCGGCUAACUCCGUGCCAGCAGCCGCGGUAA
rnacentral:rRNA from 1 species